GCCCUUUCUCCAAACCCUCCAUGGAUGACAGAGCCUCCUCCCUGUGCUGGUCACACCCUCCGGCCUCCAAUCAGAUCAAAGUCGCGGCAGAUAUGUUCUCUCAUCAAAAACGUUCAAAGACCAGAAGAGAAUACUCCAGAUUCGGUUCCUCCUAGACACCAACCCAGUCCGCAAACCUCAGUUGGUGAUGCUCAGGCUUCUUUUGCUGAUAUUUGUAAACGAAAUCCUAACCCUGGACAAAGCUGGGCACCGGUACAAGGAAGUCGCUGUCCCAUCAGGGCUUCCUCUGCGCCCGUGGGAAGCGGGUCGGAGCGCAGCUAUGGAACCAGCAAGCAAGGAAGGACCCUGGCUCGCUUCUUACAUCUGACCCAUUCGCGAAUCUGCUUUUUCCACCUAAAUCCCUGAGACUGCUUCCCCCAUUGCCAUUGGUCUAGAAGGGACCAAAUGACUCGAGUGGGGGAGGCUUUCCUCACCCUCCCCCCACCCCAACCCGAUGCUCCCAAGACCCGCGCAACUUGCGGAUCAGUUCUAGACAGCUGGGAGGAGCCACACGGCCCAUCUCGCCCCUUCCCGGUGCGCCAGCCACUCACAAGCUCCGAGAUGAAAUGCAGUGCAGGGCAGGUGAUUAAGGCUUUGAUGCCACUGGACUGAGGGCUGUCACUCAUGCUGGCCUUGGGACAGGACUCCAGCGGCUCUGGCUUUGUGCUGAAGCCUCCUUUGCUCGGCAGAGUCCAGUGGCCCGCGGGCCCCGGCAGGCCAGAGACCCAGGAGGGAGGAG
rnacentral:lncRNA from 1 species